rnacentral:rRNA from 1 species
GACGAACGCUGGCGGCGUGCCUAAUACAUGCAAGUUGAGCGCUGAAGGUUGGUACUUGUACCAACUGGAUGAGCAGCGAACGGGUGAGUAACGCGUGGGGAAUCUGCCUUUGAGCGGGGGACAACAUUUGGAAACGAAUGCUAAUACCGCAUAAAAACUUUAAACACAAGUUUUAAGUUUGAAAGAUGCAAUUGCAUCACUCAAAGAUGAUCCCGCGUUGUAUUAGCUAGUUGGUGAGGUAAAGGCUCACCAAGGCGAUGAUACAUAGCCGACCUGAGAGGGUGGUCGGCCACAUUGGGACUGGGACACGGCCCAAGCUUCUACGGGGGGCCGCAGUAGGGAAUCUUCGGCAAUGGACGAAAGUCUGGCCGGGCAACGCCGCGUUAGUGAAGGAGGUUUUCGGAUCGUAAAACUCUGUUGGUAGAGAAGAACGUUGGUGAGAGUGGAAAGCUCAUCAAGUGACGGUAACUACUCAGAAAGGGACGGCUAACUACGUG